rnacentral:rRNA from 1 species
UUUGAUCCUGGCUCAGGAUGAACGCUAGCGGUGUGCUUAACACAUGCAAGUCGAACGAACAGCUCCAGAAACUUCGGUUACUGGAGUGGGUGAGUGGCGAACGGGUGAGUAACACGUAGAAACCUGCCCCGGAGAGGGGGAUAACGGCUGGAAACGGUCGCUAAUCCCGCAUAGUCUCGGUCUUCGGAUCGAGUAAAGCUCCGGCGCUCCGGGAGGGUUCUGCGGCCUAUCAGGUAGUUGGUGGGGUAAAGGCCUACCAAGCCGAUGACGGGUAGGGGGCGUGAGAGCGUGACCCCCCACACGGGAACUGAGACACGGUCCCGACGCCUACGGGCGGCAGCAGUGAGGAAUCUUGCGCAAUGGGGGAAACCCUGACGCAGCGACACCGCGUGCGGGAAGAAGGCCUUCGGGUCGUAAACCGCUUUUCUGGGGGACGAGAAAGGACGGUACCCCAGGAAUAAGUCCCGGCUAACUACGUGCCAGCAGCCGCGGUAAUAAGGG